CAACCAAAUUGAACCAACUCCUCGGGAAUCAGAUUACUACACUUGGUAUUGGGACAUAACCCGAAGAUGGAUACUUCAUUCGACCACAAUACCGGUUGAGUCGCAAAGAGGAUAUGUGCCCCGGGGUAUAGAUGAGAGAGAAUUAGUAUCAGCAAUAGAUGAAGUUCAAACUCUUGCAAAUCGUGGCUUGGAAUUGGCUCGAGCAGCAGAUAGAAAUCCCGAAGCACAUGAACAUGUAUCAAUAUAUCAGGCUAUAAUGCAGAGGCUUCAACAAGCCUUACACCGAACUCACGAAGAUCGUCAUGAUGGACGGGAGGUAACGCCAUUCGUAUAUACACGACAACAGCGACAAAGUCGAGGACGACGCAGAAAUGACGAUGAAGCUGGACCUUCCCAACGUGUCGACGAUGGAGCUGGACCGUCACAACCACAAACGCAACCGGAUCACGAACUCGUCGAAGGGCGGUAUGGAGGACGACGAAGACAAAGGAGGAGGAGGAGAGUUCUUGGAUGUAUGUAAACUACAGGUUAUAUACAUUACAAAACUAUUUAGGGAUGUGAUUUUUGGAUUUGUAGUCGAUAAUAUCAUGUGAUAUGUUUGAUUUC